GAUGAAGAACGCAGCGAAAUGCGAUAAGUAAUGUGAAUUGCAGAAUUCAGUGAAUCAUCGAAUCUUUGAACGCACCUUGCGCCCUUUGGACUUCUGAAGGGCAUGCCUGUUUGAGUAUCAUGAACACCUCAACUCCUUAUGGUCUUCCAUGAUGAGCUUGGACUUUGGGGGUUUUGCUGGCCUACAGUCAGCUCCUCUAAAAUAAAUCAGCUUACCGGUGUUUGGUGGGUAUCAUGGGUGUGAUAACUAUCUACGCUCGUGGUUUUCCACCAGGUAACCUUCAGCAGUGGAGGUUCACUGGAGCUCAUAGAUGUCUCUCCUCAGCGAGGACAGCCCUUUGAAUGUUUGAUCUCAAAUCAGGUAGGACUACCCGCUGAACUUAAGCAUAUCAAUAAGAGGAGGA
rnacentral:misc_RNA from 1 species